AUGCCGGAAUUUUUUCAUUGUUUACCAUAACGCCAAAUACAUAGUUUUGAGUGAUCGAACUAGUUAUUAACAGAAAAGCACCUUCAUAACGAACUUCAUGACAUAUCAAAGUAUCCAACCAAUUCAAGUUGAUGGGUUAAAUAUGGGAUCAAAGGUUAAGAAACCUAAAUGAACAAUAUAAGGCAAAAUGAUAUAAUACCGUAUGUGAUACAAAUAGAAAAUUUGGGCAAGUUAAAAAGUGUUUUCAAUGUUAUUGCGCUUAGAAAUUAAUGUUAACGUCCUAUAUUUUGUUUAUGUUGGCUUUAUUAACCACAAAUUUAUCUCAGAAAAUUCAAUUUAAUUUUACCAGAUGUGACCCAGGGGUUAAGGUACCAGAAGAUGGAUCUGCGGGUCCUUUAUUCACGUCAAGUUACCACACACACACACACACACACAAAAUCGUGCUCAAUACUUUAUAGUUGUGGGUGUGUUAUAAGAGUUUCGAUCAAAUCUUACAAUAUUCAGUCUGAAAAGAACUGCGCAAAAGUUGGAAUGGAUGCUGUUGACUAGCUGUUGACCAGCUGCCUUUCCUCCAGGGACGGCUACCGAAGAUAGCCAUUGAGUAGCUUUGUAUAAAUAUUCGAAAACAAACAGAUCCUUUUAUUCUGUGCAUUUGAAUAAAAUACUACUUUAAUACUAAUUCUAAUACUAACGUUUUAUAGAUAUACAUAUUUUUGUUACUGACCUUCCCUGUUCUCCUUUAGCGUUUUAUACGUGUAGAGUUCACGUGGAAAAUUUUGGCAGGAAAGGAAGCAUCAUACCGUAUAAAACAUCUUUCGUUUGGCCGAAGUCAAACCUCACGAUGAGCUCUUCGUCUGCUCAUUGUAAUAUUCUGUGCCGUCAUCUUUCGAAGAUGAUAUAUUGAGGCUCUUAAUACGAGUUUGACUUAGAAAAAUCAGCACAAAAGCUGGAAGGAGAACAUGGCAUGACUUUCCACAAAGAAUUCUGAGAAUAUGAAAAAAGGCUAGGAUAUACUUGUAUACAUAUAUUAUAUGAAAUGAAAACUAGAGAUAUUUUUCCUUUGAAUUUAUAUAAAUAAAACAGACUAGUUAA